GCCUUCGUGGUGUAAUGUUCAACACACUCGCGAGUAUUCGAGAGGUCCGAGGUUCAAAUCCCGGCGAGAGCA
rnacentral:tRNA from 1 species